rnacentral:rRNA from 1 species
UACGAAGGGUGCAAGCGUUACUCGGAAUUACUGGGCGUAAAGCGUGCGUAGGCGGUUUGUUAAGUCCGUUGUGAAAGCCCUGGGCUCAACCUGGGAAUUGCAGUGGAUACUGGCGAGCUAGAGUGCGGUAGAGGAUGGUGGAAUUCCCGGUGUAGCGGUGAAAUGCGUAGAGAUCGGGAGGAACACCGGUGGCGAAAGCGGCGCGCUGGAUCUCUUCUGACGCUGAGGCGCGAAAGCCAGGGGAGCAAGCGGG